UGUUGCAGUUAAAAAGCUCGUAGUCGAACCUUGGGCCUGGCUGGCCGGUCCGCCUCACCGCGUGUACUGGUCCGGCCGGGCCUUUCCUUCUGGGGAACCUCAUGCCCUUCACUGGGCGUGUUGGGGAACCAGGACUUUUACUUUGAAAAAAUUAGAGUGUUCAAAGCAGGCCUUUGCUCGAAUACAUUAGCAUGGAAUAAUAGAAUAGGACGUGUGGUUCUAUUUUGUUGGUUUCUAGGACCGCCGUAAUGAUUAAUAGGGAUAGUCGGGGGCAUCAGUAUUCAAUCGUCAGAGGUGAAAUUCUUGGAUUGAUUGAAGACUAACUACUGCGAAAGCAUUUGCCAAGGAUGUUUUCAUUAAUCAGUGAACGAAAGUUAGGGGAUCGAAGACGAUCAGAUACCGUCGUAGUCUUAACCAUAAACUAUGCCGACUAGGGAUCGGACGGUGUUAGUAUUUUGACCCGUUCGGCACCUUACGAGAAAUCAAAGUUUUUGGGUUCUGGGGGGAGU
rnacentral:rRNA from 1 species